rnacentral:rRNA from 1 species
AUUGAACGCUGGCGGCAUGCCUUACACAUGCAAGUCGAACGGCAGCACGGGAGCAAUCCUGGUGGCGAGUGGCGAACGGGUGAGUAAUGUAUCGGAACGUGCCCAGUCGUGGGGGAUAACGCAGCGAAAGCUGUGCUAAUACCGCAUACGAUCUAUGGAUGAAAGCGGGGGAUCGCAAGACCUCGCGCGAUUGGAGCGGCCGAUAUCAGAUUAGCUAGUUGGUGGGGUAAAGGCUCACCAAGGCGACGAUCUGUAGCUGGUCUGAGAGGACGACCAGCCACACUGGAACUGAGACACGGUCCAGACUCCUACGGGAGGCAGGCAGUGGGGAAUUUUGGACAAUGGGCGCAAGCCUGAUCCAGCAAUGCCGCGUGCAGGAUGAAGG